rnacentral:lncRNA from 1 species
UUUUUUUUUUUUUUUUUUUUUUUUUUUUUUUUGAUAUGAUACACACACACACACACACACACACACAGACACAGGCAGAGGGAGAAGCAGGCUCCAUGCACCGGGAGCCCAAUGUGGGAUUCGAUCCCGGGUCUCCAGGAUCGUGCCCUGGGCCAAAGGCAGGCGCCAAACCGCUGCGCCACCCAGGGAUCCUGAGUCCUGGUACUUUUUUAAAAGAUUUUUUUAUUUAUCCAUUUGACAGAGAAAGGGAGAGAGAGAGAGAGCACAAGCAGGUGGAGUGGCAGAAAGAGGGAGAGGGAGAAGCAGGCUCCACACUGAGCAGGGAGCCUGAUGUGGAACUUGAACCCAGGACCCCAGGAUCAUGACCUGAGCCAAAGGCAGACAUUUAACCAACUGAGCCCCCCAGGCACUCCUGUUUAUGGACUCUAAUCUUAUCAGAUAUUUUGAUGUCACUGGUUUAGUUAUACUGUUCAUCUACUGGUAUGGGCCCUGAUCCUCACAAUCACUGCUUCAGGACAGCGUAGCAACAUAUGGAAACGUACUUUACAUAGUUAAGGAAUUUAGCACUAAGGAAAGGAUAUGUACACUGUUAUGAUAACACCAUACUAUUAUGUCUGCAAGGGAGGGCAUAAAGAAACAUUUUUGGUUAGGCUUAUUGAGAUAUACUUCAUAUCCUUUACCCUUUUGGUAUUUUUUAUUUUUUAAAAGAUUUAUUUAUUUAUUUAUGAUAGAGAGAGAGGGACUGAGACACCGGCAGAGGGAGAAGCAGGCUCCAUGCCGGGAGCCUGACACGGGACUCGAUCCUGGGACUCCAGGAUCGUGCCCUGGGCCAAAGGCAGGCGCAAAACCACCGAGCCACCCAGGGAUCCCCGCUUUACCUUUUUAAAGUAGACAGUUUGGUGAACUUUGACAAAUGAAUACAGUUGUGUAUCCAAGGUAAAGAAAAUUUCCAUCACCCUCAGCAUAGGGAGAAAUUUAAAUGGUUUGUGGGAUGUUGGAGGUUUUUCUUUAUUUUCUUCCUUGAUAAGAUUUGUGUAAUACAUAUAAUUCAGCAGAAGAAAAAGCAGAAACCAAACUUACCUUCAGAGCUUCCAGACUCUGCAAAAUGCAAAGAUCCCUCACCUAGAAUCAGUAUUAAGCAGUCAAAAUGCAGGAAAAUGACAAUGACUGUGGUUUCUUUGUCAUUAUUUCCCUCACGUACACUAUAUAUAUAUAUAUUUCUAAAAGUCCUAUUUAUUUCCCACAAGCACUAUUCAACAGGGCCCCAGGGCUUCUGGGAGGAUUAGAGAAAGAAGAGUGGGAAUGAGAGGCUCUGAAACUAGCCAGACUUCAGAAAAGUAGAGCUUCUAAAUAUAGUUUAAGGUGAGAAGCAAGCAAAAAGUGUAGGGAAAAAUAAAUACCAGCUCUGGCUUGAAAAAUGAUUUUUGAUUCUUCACAGCCAAUAGAUCUAUGGGUUUCUGAUGAUAAUUGUUAUUUUCUCAUUUAUUUCUUCCUUUUUCAUUAACAGGCAUGUAGAGUUGCACAUUGUUGCACAAAUGUGCAAUACAACCUCCACAGCACUUCCUGGGUGCUAAAAGAUGAAUAAUGUGCCAUUCUUUCUAAUGUAGGGACCAGUGUCACCAGGUUGUCUGGCAUUUAGUAGGCACUUGGGUGUCUUUUGACAAGAGCCAUAUGUAGCUCACAGAAAGGGCAGUUGUAUAAAAAUAAACUCAUAUGUCACUUAAAUUCCAACGUAGAGUUCUUCCAAGAGUUUUAUUUUCUCUAAAGUGCAAUGACAAUGUCUAAACAUACCUAUUCCCCCCUCCCUCCCAAACUUAUUAGUUUCACAUGAGCAGGAGUACUGCCCACCUCCUUCAGGAAAGGGAUAUGGGUAUCACAAUACCUGAAUUGUUUAGUUUUGCGACUUUUGCCUUUAUCAGUGAGUUGGCUAGGUUAAGACCCUUUAAAAAUAACAAACUUACUUUAAUGAACGUAAAUACACUCAAUUAUCAGGAUUCCUACGAGUAGCCUGGCAGUAAGGGCAAGAAUGCAGCGGGAGAUCUGGAGCCUGGAAGACCCAAGCGGGAACAACAGGCUGUCUCUGCUUUCUUCACUUCUGACCACUAAUCUCCUCUUUGCAGUGCUGCUGUCUCUGCCCCUAGGCACACAACAGAAGUUGCCCUAGGUUUCAUGUUUACAACUCCAUUCCAGGGAGCAGUCCAAUCUCCCAGGCUGUGGUGCAUUUCUGGGAGAGAAUCUAAUCUACCCACUUUAGGUGAGGUGUUCACUUGUCUACUCCUUGCUGGCAGAGGGGUUAGGUCACAUAGUGAAUGAGGCUGCUCUGGUCCCACUCUGGUAAGGGGGAGUUAACUGGGCUGAUCAGACACCUGAAAAGUAUCUUGCGGACUUUUGAGAUCACAACCUUUUCUCUUGUUUCUAUUGUUCCAGGUCUCCUGGCACUAAGAUAACUGAGGAGAAGCUUCAGGGUAUUUUUUCCCCAAUGCCUGGAAUUUAGCUUUGACAUCCUUCUAUGGGAGGUGUUGAUCAUCCUCCAUUAAUGUUUCUUGGUUCACAGUAAGCUCUCAGUGUGUGCAUUCAGAUCUUUUGUUGACGACUUGUGACUGGCUAGUGUUGGGGUGGAGGAGCUAGUGGGUUAUGGGAAGUGAGGUAAUGGUUCCCUCUGAUUUCCACAUACUCUGUAUUUGGGAUAAACAGGCACUUCUGGUCAUGAGUUGAGUGAGAGUGAAUCUCUGUGCCUCUUGGGCCUUUUCCUUUGGGGUCUGUGUAUGUAGUCCACUCAGCAGCUGCAAGGCCAGCUCCCUGGUUAGAGCUCUCCAUCUGGUUCAUUUCUUGUUAUAGUUAUUGAUUUUCCUUGUCUUUCCACAGCCACUCCAACAUGGAAGUUGGCUGGUGGUAAAAAACAAGGUGGCUGCAUGAUUUCUCCUUUAAUCUAGCUACCACUGCCAUGCCUCCUGAACGAAUAGGCCUCCAGCAGGUACUCCCUCCAUCUCCGUAAACUGUUCCUACCCCAUCCCUCAUUCCCUGAAGCUGAGAUUUCUAAGUAGCACCUUCAGAGAGCUCUCAUUCUGUACACUGCCUGUAUCCUUUAUGGUAACAGAGAUCAGGCAUGUUGUUACCUGAGUAACAGGUAAGUCCAGUGUAAAUUGUAAUGUGCUCGGUUGUCCUCAGUGUUUACAGUGUGAAGUUGGGCUAAUUCUCUAGUUUCUGGCCUUCUCUCCAGGUUAGCACUCAGUAUGUCAAGUCUGGCCCUACUAAGACCUCAGUUAAGGGAACAGUGAUAGAGCACAGACUCCAAAUUGUUCAUCUUCACCAGUCCCACCCCUGCGUUGGGUUCCAGGAACAGCGCGGGCUUAGGAGAUGCACACAGCUGUUUGCCUGUAUGACGCGCCCUGCAGGCCAACAAGUCUGGCUUUUCCAUCACAGCUGCACGUGGAACCCCCAAACAUCUGCGUAGUUCCUGGCCCUGCUGCAGCCCCAUCUGUGGCCAGCUGCUGAAGUGUGCGCAGGCAGGCAGGCAGGCAGGCAGGCUUGCAACAAGACCGCUGCUAGACUUCUGCAGCACUGACACCUGCAGUGAGGGCGCGGCUUUGCAAGCGGGCGCAGGAGUGUCCGGGACCAGCGCACCACCGAGAGAGAGGGAAGCCCCCCGGCUUCCUAGAAGGGGAGGCGGGCUCGGGGGCUCCGGCUCGCCGCGGGGUGGCCGAGCCCCUGCGCUCCGCAGGAGGGGCGCUCGGUUGCGGCCCGCUGGUGCCCGUGAGCCGUCUUCGGCCUCUCGAGGGUCUGGCCAGCCUUGACCUGGAAGCGCCUGGCCCAGGGGCCAGUGAUCUGCGCCCCGGGCCGUGGAGCGCGCUCCCUGGUCCUCCAGCGCACCUGCCUCGUGCCAGCGCCCCGUCGCGGCUGGAGGUGGCGGCUGGUGUCCUGGCUCCCCGGGGGUCCGAGCGGGUCUGCGCCCGCCGCCACCCAGGGGCGCACUGGAGCAGCUUCGUCCUGCUUGGACUCGCGGCCACGCCGCCACCUGCAGCUCGUCCCGCAGCCCUUCUGGGUCCAGGCGUCCUCCGCCCUCUUUCUCUCCAGAGGCGGCCUCUCCUCGCCAGGGUGUCCAAGGUGAACAAAGCCGGACAGGUUUUAAUCAGUAAUAACUGUUGCAGGAGGAGAGAGUCCAGGGUGAACUGAACGCAGCUUUGACUGGUACAGAAGUGGCUGGACUUUUUAAAAGGAGAAUGGACCGUGUGUGUGUGUGUGUGUGUGUGUGUGUGAGUGAGAGAGAGAGAGAGAGAGAGAGAGAGAGAGAGAGAGAGAGAGAGAGAGAGAGAGGAGGCCCCGGGGAGUCAGGGAGAAGUCAUGUGAGACCCAUAUGGUUUGCUAGCGGGUCUCAGGGAAGUUUGGCUCCUACCCUCCAGAGACUGGGAGACAGGGGCCCUGUCUUCAGGUGUUGGGUGGAACGAACACUAAAUUCUUUUGGCAGCCCUGAAUUUUCUCAGAUAGACACUCUGAGUGUUUGUUGGUCUUUACACGCCAAGGUUAAGGCUGAGUAGAGAAAGGGCCCAGGAGAGACCGGCUCGAGUUUGGCCAAGGACAGAAUCUUUGUCAAUGGUCAGGGUCACUGAACAUGCUCAGCAAAAACAAUUUUCUUCUCCAACCCAGUCACUGAAGCCAGGAUUCUCCAGCUGAGACUCAGUUCUGGACAAUGGAGUGUAGUGGUUUAUUUUGAGAAGCUUUGUGCCUUGCCACCAAGAAUGUGGAAAAAUACACUGAAGGAGUAACUACAACUGUGGGUGAGGGUAGGGGCCCAGCUGCCCUGGAGUGGUAGGAUAGUCAUUGUUUUGAGUCUAGGAGUCUGGGGAUGGUGAGUAAUGAAUGUGCUUACGGGCUGCAAGAGAGGGGAAAUCUCACUUGGAGGUCUUCUGCUGUCUUACUCUCAGGCUCUUCCUUUUCCAAAAUUAGGGAGCCAUGCGGGAAGCUGGGACUCAGUACCUAUGCUCCAGAAAGUGUGGUCUUAGGUAAUCUUGAUAACCUUUCUUAGAUUAGCUCUCAGAUCAGCACAGGACUCAGGCGUGACAUGGCUCCCCCUUGCUACACAGUUAUGGAAAGUGUAUAUGUGUGUCUAUGCACAUGAUGGUGUGUUUGGGAAAAGUGGUUUGAGGUGACAUGAGAUUAUCCAGGGAAAUAUCUUUGGAGAGAGGACAUGCUAUUCAGAAGAUCCAUUUAAAUGUGUGAAGUUGGAACCACCUGCCAGUAAAACUUUCUGGGAACUAUAAAUCCAUAUCACUUUCAACAAAUGAAGUCUAUCAACAGGCAGGAAAAGCCUUUUAGGGGAAUAUGUUUGCUCUGUAAAUUGUGUAUGCAGAAGAGCAUAAGAUUAGGGCUUUUCUGUUCAUUCAGUAGGUAUGUACUGAGCACCCUAUGUGCCAUGCCAUGAAAUAGGCUUUGGAAGUAUCAGGGAAACAUCACUAAUUGUUACAUAAUGUAUUGACCUCUUACUUUUAUAGAUUCAUUCAUUUAACAAGUUUUAUGAAGUUCCUACUUUGUGCCAAUGCUCAUCAAAACUGCCUUCAUAAAAGAGCUGAAUAAAUGACAAGAGCACAUGUUCCUGAAUGAGAAACAUUAGUUUUAUGAAACUGUUGCUUCACAAAUUAAUCUAUAAAUCAAGGCAAUCCCAAUGGAAAUAAUUUUUGUUCCAAAGUCCUAAAGAAUCUGAAUUCAGAAAUUUAUAUGAAAGAAUAGAUCAAAAGAUUAGCUAAGGAUAUUUUGAGAAAAUAAAAAAGCGAAUUUGCUCGACUCAGAUAGCAAUAUUUUCUUGAGAUCUUGGUUCUCUACUGCUAACCCUACUUUAGUACAUACUCAGGGCCUCCUAAGUUUCUAAAGUUUCUUCCUGAGUAAGACAGUUGUGCUCCUUCUUUAGAAGGCUCCUCUUUCCCCAACCCACCCACCUCGUCUUCCUGGGUGUUCCACUUCCCUUUCCACUUGCUAAAAGCAGAGGAUGAGCUGAAAGGAGUUCCAGAAUCUACUUUGAUUCCCAGUACUCUUCUGUUCUAAUAGCUCUGGUGGAGCAAGGGAAGGUACCAUGGGCCCAGAUGCCUGCACACAGGUUGGCUGAAAGGUCAUGAGAGAGGUCAGUACAGGUAAGUAGGAGAAUCUAUGAACUUCCUUUCCAAUUCACCUCUCCCUUUGUUUUAAUAAUUUAUCACACAUGGGACACCUGGGUGGCUCAGUGGUUGAACAUCUGCCUUCAGUUCAGAGCAUGAACUUGGAGACCCAGGAUUGACUCCCUCAGUGGGCUCCUUGCAGGGAACCUGCAUCUCCCUCCUCUGCCUCUCUCUCUGUGUCUCUCAUGAAUAAAUAAAAUAUUUU